rnacentral:SRP_RNA from 1 species
CGGACGAGUCGGCACGCUAGCCCUGUGCCAUUCACAAACGGGCUUCAUGGUGGACUUAAAGGAACGCGUGACGCUGAAAGCGCGGAGUCUUGCCUCUAACGUUGAGGUUUUGUCCUGCUCGACCGUACUCUUGCGAACCGGGUCAGGCCUUGAUCGGAGCAGCCCUAAGUAGGAUGUAUGGUGCUCGCAGGGUCGCAAAGCUGAGGAAGUCGCAAGGUCGCUUCUCGUUCUAAGCCGAGCAAGUUCCCCGUCCG